rnacentral:rRNA from 1 species
ACAACGGAUCUCUUGGUUCUGGCAUCGAUGAAGAACGCAGCGAAAUGCGAUAAGUAAUGUGAAUUGCAGAAUUCAGUGAAUCAUCGAAUCUUUGAACGCACAUUGCGCCCGCCAGUAUUCUGGCGGGCAU